rnacentral:lncRNA from 10 species
CUGGCUAGAGGGACGGAAUAUGCUGUAGACUUAAGUUAAGCAAGACCUCUUCCUGGAACUGGGAGAAGGUCAUUUCAGCCUUAGCCACCUGGCUUGAAAGUCCAAGGUCCUGUAGGAAUGGAGAAUGGAGGCUGACAUGGCACACCUAUUCGCCGAGGCAUCACCUGGAUCCUACAGAGUCAGAGUAAAGAAGUAUAACUUGACAUUUCUUCUGCAAGAAAAAAACAAGAAGAUGGUGACUUUCAAGACCUCAGUCAAUGACUAAAGUUCUGUGACCACAGUGAGCCUUGGCCAUCAGUGAUGGUGAAAGCAACAGAUGUCAGAUGUCAGCCCCUGGCUUCCUGCCUUACCGUAGAGGGAUACUCGACAGACAGACUGGACAGAUCACUCAUGCUGGGGAAAGCCAGGUGUCAUGUCUUGGGGAAUCCAGGUGUUAUGUCUUAAGGACAGGCUGGCAGACCUGUGCAUACGCCCAUGUAGCGAGAAACUAGACCCUCAGCUCAAGACACUGAAAGAAACCUCAUGAAACAACUUGAAGCUCUGACCCUGAACCACCUAGCUAAACUGCUCUUAGAUACCUGAUUCUCAGAUACUAUUGAGAAAAUAAACAAUAAUUAUUUUAUGUUGCUACAUUUUGGGAGUAAUUUGUUACAUGAUAAUAGCUACACGUUGAAGAGCAAAUUAUUCACGCUCUGUUUUUCAGUUUCCUCAUCUGCACAAUGGAGUACCGAUUUUAUGAUGUGGUUGUGAGGAUUUAAGAGAUCAUCCACAGAGAAGUGCAACAGAGUACAGGGUCAGAAGUCAGCACCCC